UACAGAGGGGGCAAGCGUUGUUCGGAAUUACUGGGCGUAAAGGGCGCGUAGGCGGCCUUCUAAGUCGAACGUGAAAUCCCCGGGCUCAACCUGGGAACUGCAUUGGUGACUGGCAGGCUAGAGUAUGGCAGAGGGGGGUAGAAUUCCACGUGUAGCAGUGAAAUGCGUAGAGAUGUGGAGGAAUACCGAUGGCGAAGGCAGCCCCCUGGGCCAAUACUGACGCUCAUGCACGAAAGCGUGGGGAGCAAACAGG
rnacentral:rRNA from 1 species